GCCAGCGUGGUACAGUGGUUUGAAUGUUGGAUUAUGACUCUGGAGACCAGGGUUCGAAUCCAUGCUUGUUCA
rnacentral:tRNA from 1 species